GUUGCAAUGUCAAGUGUCCAUCAGUAUGAACUAAUCCAUUCAUACAAAUUCAUAUGCUGCUGACGAAGCAGCUGAAGCAAUGCUUGUUGUCAUGUAGAUUGACAUUAACAUCACUCUAACCUCUUCUGCUGCAGGUAUUGUAGAGAAAGAGUCCAGAAGGACCCAGAGAAUGCCAUCACUCAUCACAACCACAGCGGUCUUUGUACCAUAUUUACUCUACCAUCUAUGAGGGUCAGACUGCAGCAGCCAGCUAAGACAUGAUCUACAGCAAGCUGCAGGCACACUGACAUGCUAACAGUUUAAAAGUGUGUUCAAGAAGAGAAGAAGUUGACUGAUGUGAUGUAGAACCAGAGGUACCCAUCAUGGACCAGACAGCAGCUGUCAUAUUUCUGAGGUAACGGUAACGGCCCGAGCCCCGAUGGUUGGGGACCCCUGAUGUAGAGUAAUCCUGAGCUUCUAUCAUGUCUUCUUCUCAAAUCAACCAAGAUGUAAAACGAAACCAAAGUUUUCCAAUGUUUUUCAGUCAGAAUAUCAAGUUCAAUCCUACUUUUUACACAAGUGUUUGAUUGAAGGUGAAGACAAUAUUUUUGGAUAUACUUCGUCUCAGUCUUGUUGUUUGCUUACUUCUGCACAAACACUGUAUGCUACAGACCCAAUGCAAAAUAUUUGAAUCUUUGUAUAUUUUAAAUAAACCUGAAUUAAUGUGUU